CCUACGGGAGGCUGCAGUGGGGAAUAUUGGACAAUGGGGGCAACCCUGAUCCAGCCAUGCCGCGUGUGUGAAGAAGGCCCUCGGGUUGUAAAGCACUUUCAGUGAGGAAGAACGCCUGGUGGUUAAUACCCAUCAGGAAAGACAUCACUCACAGAAGAAGCACCGGCUAACUCCGUGCCAGCAGCCGCGGUAAUACGGAGGGUGCGAGCGUUAAUCGGAAUUACUGGGCGUAAAGCGCGCGUAGGUGGCUUGAUAAGCCGGUUGUGAAAGCCCCGGGCUCAACCUGGGAACGGCAUCCGGAACUGUCAAGCUAGAGUGCAGGAGAGGAAGGUAGAAUUCCCGGUGUAGCGGUGAAAUGCGUAGAGAUCGGGAGGAAUACCAGUGGCGAAGGCGGCCUUCUGGACUGACACUGACUCUGAGGUGCGAAAGCGUGGGUAGCAAACAGGAUUAGAUACCCCAGUAGUC
rnacentral:rRNA from 1 species